CUCGUAGGCGGUUUGGAUAGUCGGGUGUGAAAACUCCGAGCUCAACUCGGAGACGCCACCCGAUACUGCCAUGACUAGAGUCCGGUAGGGGAGCAGGGAAUUCCUGGUGUAGCGGUGAAAUGCGCAGAUAUCAGGAGGAACACCGGUGGCGAAGGCGCUGCUCUGGGCCGGUACUGACGCUGAGGAGCGAAAGCGUGGGUAGCAAACA
rnacentral:rRNA from 1 species